UACAGAGACUGCAAGCGUUAUUCGGAUUCACUGGGCGUAAAGGGUGCGCAGGCGGCCAAGUGUGUGAGGCGUGAAAGCCCGGGGCUUAACCCCGGAAUUGCACCUCAAACUACAUGGCUAGAGCAUUGGAGAGGGAAGCGGAAUUCACGGUGUAGCAGUGAAAUGCGUAGAUAUCGUGAGGAACACCAAUAGCGAAGGCAAUUCACUGGACAUCACCUGACCCUCAGGGACGAAAGCGUGGGGAGCGAACCGG
rnacentral:rRNA from 1 species